rnacentral:lncRNA from 1 species
AAAACAAGUACCAUGCUGAGAAGUGAUUGAGAAAAGUUAUACAUUAAGGAAAGAUAUCUACCUGUACCCAGGUGUUUUUAUUUGUUCAACUUCUAACUUGUGCACCGUUCUAUGUCAGACAUUUGUGUGCCUAGUUUGUUCCUGUAGAAGGCAAGUUUAAUUUUAUCUGAAGUCCAAGAAGAAGCAGCCUUUAUCCAGGGCAUAGAACUAAAAGGUGGAGGGGUGUAUGAUACUUCAUAUUCAUUAGGUCCCUGAGAGACAGGCUCUGUCACUACAGAGAAUGUUCACCAAACUCAGGGGCUUGAACAGCAAAAGGAAAUAUUUCUGUUGUUCUUCAGGAACUCACAAGAGGAAAGGAAAUGGAGAUGGCAGCAGCAGGGAGAGGCACAUUAGCCCCAAAAAGAUCCAUCUGGGAGAAUCAACUUCUCUGAAUUUGAAGAGUCUUCUGUGAUUUGCCAGAACUGUUGUGAUGAAGAUUUUUCUUGGACUACUAGGCAGCCAAGCAAUUCCAAACCCUCCUUGGGACAUCUACUUCCAUUCCUUCCACUGGGUUCUGUCUGAGAGCCUGCAACCGGCAUCUCGUGCAGAUUUCAAAAUCGAAAUUCAGCAUUAUCGUAAUUACACAGAAAUAGCAUCAUAAUAUAUUGUCGUGGUUUGUUCUGUCUCAUUUGUAUUGCCAAAAAUUUUUUUUUUGUGGCCCAAGUCCCACUGAAUAGACAUCCUUACUGCACUGCCUUCAUUUUGUCAUGAACUUAUUUUUCCUGAGAAGUUUAAUUUAAGAGUUAAUAUCAAGGACUUUUCUGUAGCUCCAUGAAAACUUAAGCAUGUCUGAACAACAAAAUUGAAAAGAGUUUGUCAAAAACAG